GACGAACGCUGGCGGCGCGCUUAACACAUGCAAGUCGAGCGAGAACCGGGACUUCGGUCCCGGGGACAGCGGCGAACGGGUGAGUAACACGUGGGUAAUCAACCCUCGGCACCGGGAUAGCCCGAGGAAACUCGGAUUAAUACCGGAUAGCCCCUCCGACUCUCGAGUCGGUCGGGAAAGGUAGCUUAGGCCUCUGGCCGGGGACGAGCCCGCGGCGGAUUAGCUUGUUGGUGGGGUAAUGGCCUACCAAGGCAACGANCCGUAGCUGGUCUGAGAGGACGAUCAGCCACACUGGGACUGAGACACGGCCCAGACUCUUACGGGAGGCGGCAGUGGGGAAUCUUGCGCAAUGGGCGAAAGCCUGACGCAGCGACGCCGCGUGAGGGAAGAAGGCCUUCGGUUGUAACC
rnacentral:rRNA from 1 species